rnacentral:rRNA from 1 species
UAGGGAAUCUUCCGCAAUGGACGCAAGUCUGACGGAGCAACGCCGCGUGAGUGAAGAAGGAUUUCGGUUCGUAAAACUCUGUUGUUAGAGAAGAACAGCGCAUAGAGUAACUGUUAUGCGUGUGACGGUAUCUAACCAGAAAGCCACGGCUAACUACGUGCCAGCAGCCGCGGUAAUACGUAGGUGGCAAGCGUUGUCCGGAUUUAUUGGGCGUAAAGCGAGCGCAGGCGGUCAAUUAAGUCUGAUGUGAAAGCCCCCGGCUCAACCGGGGAGGGUCAUUGGAAACUGGUUGACUUGAGUGCAGAAGAGGAGAGUGGAAUUCCAUGUGUAGCGGUGAAAUGCGUAGAUAUAUGGAGGAACACCAGUGGCGAAGGCGACUUUCUGGUCUGUAACUGACGCGGAUGUGCGAAAGCGGGGGGAUCAAACAGG